GCUUUGUACUGCUACAACUCAGGUCUACGCUGAACUUUCUCAGACUUUGAGAUUUAUAUUUCCAUUGUAUUUCACAUUCCUGGGCUUUGGCCAGAACCCUAACCUUUACCUUUAAGCACUUUUCCCUCCCUUUUAUGUUUGUUCCCUUUUUCCUUCCCUCCAGCUUGACCAUCUGUCUCCUUCCUUUUGCUUCCGUAGAACCAUAGACUAAGUACCUAGGGGUGAAACGGCACAUGUCAUCAAAGGAUUCGGUUUUCAGAAGUCAUCUCUGAUCUGGGUGAGUACACAGUGACUUCUGCAAAGUGUUCUGCAUCUUGUGACCAUCUGGGCCCAUGACCUCGCCUAGUUAGAGCUUCGUUAACAAGGCCAAGGUCAUGGUUUCAGACCCCAUAUGGUCCAGUUUACUCUGCUCAAGGAAGAGCUUUAUUACGUUGCUGUGGCCUGCAACUGCUAAUGCUGGUGGGCCCGCCUUGAAAAGGGGCUUCUACAGGAAGACCUGGAGAGAGCUGGGUUGCAGCCAGCCCCUCAACAUCAUUACAGCAAACUUCAAAGCCUAUGUUCUGGGUGGACAGUCAGCAGGACUCUUAUCUCAAUGCAUGCUUUAUGUUAAGCUUUAGAAUAGAUAAGCAAUCAUCUGUCUCCCACUGGGAAGGCCGUACAGAAUAACCCAAAGAUGUCUAGUGUUUGGGGCCAUUGUUCCUUUUCUUCAUUUGGCCAUGUCACACUCUAUAAAGUGGGUCUCUGUGGAGCUGCAGAUUUUACCCAUGGAAAUUAAGGGAUGGGCACAAUUAAACCUGGCAAGACGAGCUGCUGUGUGUAACUGGGAAGAGUUGCCAUCGGAGAAGUACAACGUCUGAGGGCUUUGAAGAGCAGAAACCGAGCAUCUUCUCCGUCUAGUUUUGUAAACGAGUAAAGUAUUUGUUUCCAGGAUAAUUUGAAAUUUACAAACCAUUUCCAUAUCCUCCAUUUCCCUUGGUUCCUUGGAUGUGAGAUUCGCUCGACAGGCAGUAUCACACCUUUCCUAUUGGAACGUUCUGUGUAGAGGUCCCAUGACUUGUCCUUGGUUGCACAAGUUACAAAGCCUUGAACCACAACCCAGGGGGCUUUCUCUGGUGGCACACUACACUGGGAUUUUUUUUUUAUUUAUACUUAGAAAUAUUUCAACAGAUGUUAUUGUUGAUACCAUUUCUACUUUUCCUAUCGUGCUUUUUUUUAAAAAAAAAUAAUUUUUGUUGUAGAGGGAUACAAAAUAUCUUUGUUUAUUAACUUAUUUUUCACGUGCUGCUGAGGAUCAAACCAGUGCCUCACACAGGCUAAGCAAGGCCUCUGCCACUGAGCUACAGCCUCAGCUCCCCUCCACCCCCUUGUGCUUUUGAUUGGCUUAUGGUUGGAAGAUUACGGCUUCUAUGGCUGCAAUUACAUACAAAUCAGAUUUCUGAAACUUGGAUAUGGCCUCAGAAGGAGAUUGAAGAGCUGCUUCCAGGGCCUUUUCAGGGGGGAUUAUCUGAAUAGUAGGGGGACAGAAAAAAAAAUUCUGAAAUUAGAGAAGCCUGCUUUCAAAUCCUGACUUAGCCUUAGUUGAUUUCUCAAGUUAUUGAACCCUAUGUGGUUGGGAAAUAACCUUGGCAGCGCUCUUUCUGAAUUGAAUAUGCCAAAUUGUGUACUAGCCCUGCUCAGAACUGAAAUCCAACAGUGAAAAAAUGAUGAAAGGGUUUUCAGCUAAUCAUAGAAGUGGGAAGAAAGCAAGAUGUUCUUAAUCUUUUCUCUCCCAAGACCAUUGUACUUCAAUUGUGUGACAUUUCUGUUCCAAUUAAAGGCAUGUCUUAUAUCCAAAGGGUCUCAUUUACAUUUUCUUGCUUUGCAAGCCCUAGCAUCCUAUUUUUUUUACAAAAUUACAUAAUGCAUUAUGUCUUGAUGCAAUUUAAUACCUCCUGCUGACUAUUCAAAAUUACUAAGCAGAAGGUCAGAAUAAAUCAGUGAACAGCUAUUAAAAUGCAUAGGCAGCAACACAAACAGUAGAUAAUUAGUACUUAAAGUAAGCCAAAGCCUCAAGAAAUGUGAAGAAAAAAGUAAUCAAGGUGUUUUAUUAAUUCUGUAACUGCAUCUUACAUUCAUAAAAAUGGCUAUGGAUUUAGAGCCACCAUUAAUUUGCCUUUUUGGGAAUGGUUUGUUUUUCUCCUUGUGGAAUAUAUUAUACCAUACAGAAGAGGGUAUAAACCAUAUGUACAGUUUAAAACACAAUUGUAAAGCAAACAUCCAUAAGUCACCCAGACCAAGGAGAAACUUGCCAUUGCCAGUCCCCCUAGCCAGGGCAGAAUCCUCCCCACCAGAUGCAAUGUGUUUAUCAACUCUACCUGUCGCCAUAAUUUAUCUUUCUGAUAGUGUGACCCCUAGGGAGUUCAGUUGGAUGGUGUUGAUUUUUGAAACUUACACAAGGGAAUUACACAGACUUUUACUUUUGUGAUUGCUGCUUUCACUUGAUAGAGUAUUUGUGACAUCUGUGUUGUUGGUGUAUUUAUAGUUUAUGUAUUUUUAUGGACAUGCAGUUUAAUAUCAUAUACAUAUACUUAACAAUAUCUGUAUUGAUUCUACCCUGAUGCCCUUUGGAUCAUUUCCAUUUGGGGGCUAUUUUUGAAUGCUGCUGCUCUCUUCUGGCUGCAUACUAGCAUUCCUACAGAGUAUAUAUUUAGGGGAGAAUGAUCCAACCACAGGGCCUGUAUGCUUUCAACUUUACUGGAUAAUACUAAAACAUUUUUAAAGUAUUUGCACCAUUUUUGACUCUGGGAGAGUUCCAAUUUCUCUAAUUUCUCACCAACACUUGUAGCUGUCAGAAAUAAUGUAAUUUUUGCAAACCCAAGGGCUACAUAAUGGUUUUUCAUUGUGGUCUUAGUUUGGAUUUCAUUGCCUACCUAAUUAGUUGAUCAUAUCUUUUUUUUUUUUUUUUUUAAGAAGCCAUAUGGAAUUCCAAUUUAGGAAAAGCUUAUUCAAAUCAUUUGCCAUUUUCUUUAUAAUUGGGCUGUUUUCCUUUUUGAGGGCUGUUUUAGUCAGCUUUUUUGCUGCUGUGACUAAAAGACCGAACCAGAACAAUUGUAGAGUAGGAAGAGUUUAUUUGAGGGCUCACAGUUUCAGAGGUCUUGGUCCAUAGAAGGCUGGCUCCAUUCCUUGAGGAUCAAGGUGAGGCAGAACAGCAUGGUGGAGGAGUGAGGUGAAGGGGAGCAGCUCACAUGAUGAUCAGAAAGUGGAGAGAGACUCCACUUACCAGAUACAAAUAUAUACCCCAAGCCAUGCUUCCAAUGUCCCACCUCCUCCAGCCACAUCUUACCAACCUUCAGUGACAACUCAGUUAGUCCUUAUUAGGGGAUUACUUCACUGAUUGGGUUAAGACUCUUACAACCCAAUCAUUUCUUCUCUGAACCUUCUUGCACUGUCUCACACGUGAGCUUUUGGGGAAGCCUCACACCCAAACCAUAGCAGGGGGUCUGUGUAUUGUUCAGAGCAAUGACCUGAAGAUGGGGGGAAUUAGCCAUGGGGAUGCCCACAGGAAGGGCAUGUCAGGGAGUGGAAAGAGCCAGUGCAAAGGUCCUAAGCCAGAAGCCCUCCUGGAGCAAAGUGGUGAUCGGGAGAGGAGUAGCAGUUGGCUUCGGAUGAUGGGGAGAAGGCUUUGUUGGCCUCAUAGAAAUCUUUGGCUGGGAUUACGAAUCUCAUGGAAAUUGACCAAAAUUUCCACCAGAAGAGCCACACAACCUGAUUCUUUCUCUCUCUCUCUUUAAAUUAAUAGAUUUCAAUUAUUAUUAUUAUUAUUAUUAUUAUUAUUAUUAUUAUUAUUUUAUUAUUAUUGUUAGCAGUUUACAGGAAGUGGAAUGGAAUAUAAUGUCCUAUUGGGAGAAUCUGUGCUUCUCACCUCUGCAACUAUGGGAUCUACACUAUUGCAGAUGUUGGCAUUCAAAGUAGGCAUGCUCUUGCUAGAGGACACAGGUUUCAUUGAUUAUGUGACCUAUCUAUGCUGCUGGGGCACAUGCAGAGCAGCAUGGGAGAAGAGCAAUCAGUUGGCAGGAGGGACUUACCCUGAAGCAAGGAGGGGCAGAUCUGCUUUCACACAGGGAGUAGGAAGGAGUGUUUGUGGUACCUGGUGGUCCCCUCUUAGUGCUCCUUUGUCCAGUCGUCACUGUGAACGGACAUGUGCAGCAAGUCCAGGGGAUGCUGUUGUGAACAUGGACUCGCAUCUUUAACAACGAAAGUUUGGUCUACACCACCAGGAGCGGUCCCAAGACCUGCACAGGCAUUAGCUGAGGGGAAAGAAAUUUAGAGGGAUGGAGGAGGAGGGAGACGACGAGUACCAACUGUGGCUCAGACCAGCUGUGACAACAGGGGCUGUGGUCUCUCUCCCUGAGGUGGCCCUAAGGAGAAGAGGUCAGUGGCACCCUGGCACCCUGGGAUGUGGAUGAAGGUGUGCACCUGUGCAGAGCGAGGAUGGACCAGGGUGGUCAUGGAGGUUCACUGCUCAGUCCGUCUUCAAGCAAGCCUCCACUUCAGUCACAACACAGUGCUUGAGAUGACACCAGGCUUCCUUGGCCAUUCCCAGCAUGAUGGGGUUACUAGGGCCGGAAAUUCCUGCCUUUAACAGGCAGCCUUUGCUCAGUAGCUUCCAUAGGCUGGCUGGGGCCUUCUGAGAUGGAAGAUGUUCUUAUUAAACUCUCCUUUCUUCUUUCUCUGCUUCCACAGAUGUUAGAGCUACACCGUGGUCAAGAGACUCCCCCAGGCUCCUCUGGCUGUCUUCCUGCGCUACACAGCGAGCAUUUCCCCCAUUGCAUCUCUGAGGCACCAGGGCCCACUUUGGCAUCUGUUUCUGGGAAGACCUGAGCUGAAAUGAGGUAUGUUUCGUGUAAUUAUUGACAUGUCCUAGUUUAAAUUUACCAUCUUGCCUUUUUUUUUGGUCUAUCCCCCCUUCACCUCCCCACCCCAUGUACUGUUUGUUCCUUCAUCUCUUUCUUUUGGAUUGAGUUUUUUUUUUUUUAAACAAACAAUUGUUUUAUAAUCUGCAUUUUGUUGUUCAAGUUUUUUUUUUUGGCAUUUGUCUUUAGUUUUAUUUCAAAGUUAGGGUUUAACAUUCCAGGCGCAGUAUUUCCCUUCACAUAUUGCAUCACAAAAUGUAAAACAGAAUACAUCCCAUUCUUCCCUCCUGUCCUUUGAGCUAUUUUCAGAUAUUUGACUUCUGCAUGUGCUCUAAACCAUGAAACACACUGCCAAUAUUUUUAUUUUAAACAGUCAAAUAUCUUUUACAGAGAUUGAAAAUGAUCAAGAGUCUUUUAUGUUUAUCCAAAUGUUUACUUUUGGGAGUGUUCUUCGUGACUUUGUGUAGACCCAAUAUCCAACUGUUAACAUUUUCCAUCUGCCUUAAGGAUUUUCUUUAAUAUUUCUUUCUUGCAACAAUUUUGUUGAUUUUUUUUUCAGAAUUUGUCUGAAAUAGUGUCUAUUUCUCUUUUUUGUUAUAGUAGAAGAUACAUAACAUGAAAUUUACUAUUUUUGCCAUUUUAUAUGUUUUAUUUAGCCUGUUGCAGGGCAUUUUUGGAUGUUUCAUACAGGUUUUACUGAAAAUGCACAUUUUCCUGGAUCACAUGGUAAUAACUAUCAGUUAUUUUCAAGAAACUGUCGCGUUGUUUUGCGGAGUGCCUAUACCAUGCACAUGGGAGGGUCAGAGGACACGUAUACACAUUCUUUGCCUUAUCUUUGUGUAGACUUGAUUUGCAUUUCCCUAAUUAAUGGAACUGAACAUCUUUCAUGUUCUUAUUUUCCAUCUCCAUGUUCUCUCAGUGAAAUGUCUAAUUCCACUUCCUAUUUUCUAACCAAAAUGUGCUUUUUCCCCCCUUCCUGUUCAGUUUUUAAAAUUUCAAGGAUACAUUGUAGAUGUGGGUCCUUAGUCAGAAACGUGGCUUGCAAAGGUCCUCUUCGAGUCUGCGCCUUGUCACCUCAUUAUCUUCACGAGGUUUGCCUCACAGCAAAAGUUAAUUUGGAUGAAGUCCGUUUUAUUGAUUGUUUCUCUUUCAUGGACCAAGCUUCUGAUGUCAUGCCUAAGUAUUUAUUUAUUUUUAAUAAAAAUGUAUCUCCCAAAGAUUUUUUUUGUUAUGUUUUCUUCUAAAAUUUUUUAUAGUUUGGUGUUUUAUAUUUAAGCCUGAGAUUCAUUUUGAGUUAAUAUCUAGGUGAGAUUUGAAGUUUCGAUUGCUACUAUUUUUGCGAUGGAUAGUCAACUGCUCCAGCACCAUCUGUUGACAGUGCCACCCUUCCUUGUUGACUUGCUUUUUGCUCAUUUGUCAAAAUGCACUGGGUUAUAUUUGGAUGGACUAUGUCUGAGUUCUCUUUUCGUGUUUCCUUUUCUUUGUGUCUACAGCUUCAUAAAUACCACAAAUCUUGAUAACUGUAGCUAUAUGGUAUCUUAAAAUGGAAUAGAAUGAUUUAUUUUUCUUGUACUUUGUUCUUCUUUUCCAAAAUUGUUUUAGCUGUUCUAAUUCCCUUGCCUUUCUAGGUAAACUUGGAAUGAUUGAGUCUAUGUCUACAGGCCGACAUUGCUGAGAUUUGGGUGGUAUGAUUUUAUAUUUUACUCUGUUUCCCUAUAUCCAUCUGUGUCAUUGUGAAUUCUCUGUGGAUGUAUUUUCUCCUAGUUAUGGAUUAUACAUUUUCACUUUUCUCUUAAUUUUUUAUUGAUUGUUGAACCUUAUGGAUUUUACAUGAUUGGUUGCUAGGUUUUAUCAUUUAAUAGCUCUUGAUUUUCCUGUAAGGUAGCAUAGUUAAGUUGCUUAGAAGCAACUGGAGGCUUUUGAACCUUGUUUUGAAGCUUUGCCAGGGCGGGAGGGUGUGCUCUUUAACAUAGACAUAGUUCAAUUCUGGCAGCACAGGGAAAUCCUCCUGAGAUUCUACCUCACACCCUAGGUGUUGCUCCACGCUGGGUGACAGGACUUCAGGGGCUUCUGACUCCCUGGAAUUGUUCUGCCAAACUCCCUUCUGGUGGUUCUUCAACUCUUGAGGUUUCUCGCCUGUUCAUUCAUAGAUCUGUACCCAGCCGCAGACUUGGGAGCGUCCCCCUGACCUCCGAGCUCUCUCUGUAAGCCACCCAUUCCCCUCUGGUGCUCUGCCUCUCAAUUUCUACAUGUCUUCACCUUCUCAAACUCCAAACUCUGCCUCCUGACCUCUGUGAAGUAAGAACUGAAAGUUCUCUCGGAUUUUAAGUUAGCACAAUCCUAAGAGCCCAUCCUGAUUUUUCCCCUUCUUUGGAGUAAGUUUCAAUCUAGGUAAUUUUAAGUCCUGGUGACAUAACAGCCCAAACACAUUGUGCAUUUUACUUCAAUUCAUUAUAAACUUAUAAUACAAAGCUAUUAUUUUACUUUAAGCAGUUUUUGAGUAAAAUUUCGAGUUAGAAAGAUGUAUUUUCUAUUUGUCACAUAGAUGUCAUUUUCAGGACUCCUCAUUUCUUCAUGGAGAUAAAAUUUCCACUGAGUGAUAUUUCCCUUAACAUUUCUUACAUUACAAGUUUGCUGGUACUUAAUUUCAUCAAUAUUUUAAUCAAUAUUUUAUGUUUCUAGGUAACAUUUUUUUUCUCUUAGAACUUUAAAACUACUGGCUAUCUUCUGGUUUAUGUAGUGUUUGACAGAAUAUUUGGUGGCAUUUUUAAGUUUUCUUUUUUGAAUGUCUAACAUAACUUAUCCCCCUCUACCUUCUUCUAAGGUAUUCUUUAUCACUGGGAUUUAACAGUUUCAUAUUAUUGGUAUGAUUUUUAAAUGUUUUCGUUAACAUUUUUUUCUGCUCAGGGUUUGUUGAGCUUCUUGAAACUGUUGGUUUACAGUUUUCAUCAAAUUCAGAAAAAUAUUUGACUAUUCUUUCAAUAUUUUUUGUCUCCUUUUUCUAGGACUGUAAUCCCACAUAUAUAAACAAUUGAUAUUGUCCUGCAGAUCACACAAAUAUUCAUUUUUAAAGUCUUUUUUCUGACUUGAUGCCAUUUGGAUAGUUUCUAUUAUUUGAUAUCACAUUUUCUUUAUCCAUUCAUCUGCUGCAGGAUACCUAAGUCGGUUCCAUAGUUUAGCUAUUGUGAGUUGAUCUGCUAUGAACAUUGAUGUGGCUGUAUCACUGUAAAUGCUGAUUUUAAGUCCUUUGGGUAUGAGCCGAGGAAGUGUUUAAUUGGUUGCAAACUCUUUCUAGUGUAUUUUCAUUUAGAGAUUUUAUUUUUAUCAAUAUAGACUUGACUUGAAACUUUCUGCAUCUCCCAUGUUUAUCUUACAAUAUUUAUAUAUAAUUUUUACACCAUUGAGUAUAUGGAACAUCUUUAUAAUUACUAUAACUACAGUUUUAAUGUUCACUUCUGCCUAUUCCAUCAUCUAUGUUAUUUCUGGGUCUGUUUUUAUUGACUGUGGAGCACAUUUCCUGCUUUCUGUGCACAUAAUAAUUUUUGAGUGGCUUCUGCAUAUUUUAUGUUAAGUGCUGGAUUUUGUUGUGCUCCUUUAAAUAAUAUUGGGCUUCUAUUUUGUUGUAGCAGUUAAAUUACACAUGCAUUAGCUUGAUCCUUUUGAGAUUUAUUUUUAAAUCUCUUUUAGGGUAAAUGUGGAACAGUCAUUGUUCUAGAGCUAAUUUAGCUCCAGUUUUUAAAAUGUGAGGUUGGACCUUCUGGGAUCUACACUGAGAAGGCUGUAUGUUCAACAAGAUCUAUCCAGUCCUGCUACAGUGAGCUUACAUAAUCUUGGAAACUGUUAGUUCUGGUUAUAGUUUUUCCCUUGAAAGUUACUCUGGUCUAUCCUCAUUGGGUUUUCCUCAUACAUUUGUGGACUGAUUAUCAACUAAAGGCUCUAGAGGAUCCUCAUGCAGAUUUCUAGAGCUCUCUGUAAUGACCUCUUCUUAAGCAUCGUCCUCAUGAUUACAGAUGUCUCUGUCUUCCCAAAUUUUAGUUUCGUAACUCCCCAAGGGACACUGGGCUCUAUUUUCCCUCUCCUCCCCCACCUUUAUCAUUACCUUAAGCAGGAAAUGUUUUCUCUUUUUUUCAGGUUGUGGUCAUGCACUGUCCUUUGUCUAAUAUCUGAAAAUGGUCACUUUCUAUGCUUUGUCCAAUAUUCCAAUUGUUUCUGGCAGGAGGGAAAUUCUUGAUUAAUGUAUUCUCUUAUGUUUGGAAAUAAAGAUCCCCUAGAUAUUUAUAUUUUUCUAUUAUUCAUAUGACUUGCUAAUUUAAACUUCUUUUAUUCUGUUCCUGGAAACUAUGUUUUAAAAUAAAGUUUAGAACUUUAUCUAUAAUUCUAUGUAUACUCACCUUGCUAUAAUUUUGGACCACACUUCUCAUCUGCCAAGUUCUUUUGAUUUUGUUAUCCAGAUGUUGAUUCUCAUCUUCAUUUCUUAUCUCACCAACUCUAAUAUUCUUCUUCUUUUUUUAAAAUAAUAAUUCAUGUUCUUGCUAAAACAUUGCAGGACAAAUGCAGAGUAGUGAAGAGCGGCGUUCUGGGUAGCUGUGAUGGGGUAAUAAGAUUCCACAGCUGGUCUGACUACAGACUGUCGAGCUGCCAGGCACCCCCAGGCAGCAGGCAGCUGCCAGGCUUGCUCACAACAUUUCCGUAGAUUCCGUUGGCAAGGAGACAGUGAGCCCUCGAGACCUGGAUGGCCUGUGUCCCUGGCACGGUGGGCAGCAUGAGCUUCAAGUGUGCCCCAGCCCUCUUUGCCUCUUUGAUCUCAUUGAGGCUGAUGUGGAAUAGGCCAAGGUGCAGUGCUGCGCCCAGUGGACCAUCAUACCUGGGCAGGACCACCCAGCGGAGGACCCUCCCAACUUGAUGAGGGACUUUGGGUGGAUAUGCCAAUCACCCUCUUCAGAGAUAUUGUUUUUAUUAUUCUAGAUACGAACAAACCUAUUUUAGGGAGAGAAGUGAGGCUUUUUGAGUCUGAAAUGUCUCCUUAUACGACCAUCGCUAAAUUGACUGCAAAGAAACAAAUGCCUUGGCUCAGGAGGCUUAGAGCAUGCGGAAAUGCCAGCUGCAGAGAGAAUUGUCCUCUGACAGACACGGGAGCCUUUUAUGAACUGUAGUAGUAUUUUGUAUGUAAUUAAAAUAUUCUUGACUAGUUUUAAAUAAAAUAAAAUAAGAAUAUUAUAUCCCUAUGUAUGUAUUCCUGUGUAUAUGUGUGUGUGUGUGCAUGUGUGUGAAUUUGUGUAUAAACUUGCAAACAGAAAUAGGUAGCCAAAUAUGUGAUAGACAGUAAGGCCAUUAAGAAGUGUUGUGCAUGCUCCUUUCUAUCUGUCACUAUUAAAUCUGUUUGUUUAUUUUUUGCCUAGUGUUGAGUCUGAGUAAAUUAGUUAUGCAUAUGAUAAAACUUCAGUAUACUGCAUGUAUUUCUGCUUUCUGCACAAAGAAAUCAUGAAGGAAUAUGACAAUGCUUGAUUUUUUUUUUAAACACAGAACCAGCGAUUGAAUCCAGGACCUUUCAAAGUUAGGCAAACACUCCACCCCUGAGCUACAUCACCAGCCCUUUUAAAACCUUAAUUUGAGCCAGCGUCUUCCUCAGUUGCCCAAGCUGGGCUGGCACUUGCAAUUCUUCUGCCUCAGCUUCCUGAGUAGCUGGGAUUAUAGGUGGGUACCAGAAUGCCCAGAUUAAAAGACAUAUUUUUUUAUUUUACUGAUACAAUUUCCAUUAUUUUACAGUGUAGAGGUUCAGUUAAAAUAAGGUGCAGGGCUGGGGAUAUAGCUCAGUUGGUAGAGUGCUUGCCUCACAUGCACAAGGCCCUGGGUUCAAUCCCCAGCACCACACACACACACACACACACACACACACACACACACAAUGCAAUUAGUUUGACGUGACUUAUACUUAGUUAACUCAUAACAAUUCCCAAGUAUAACUACUCUCUUUUGCAUAUAUUCGAAACUGAAUAUAAACAUACAUCUCCUGUUUAGAGUCAUCUGCUUUAACUACUUGGCCUUUGGUUUCUGAAACCUAUUGUUUGUACCACUAGUCUCCAAAAAAAGCCUUUAAUCCUUUUGAUACUGUUUUCCUACCUCAUGUCAAAGUGGCAAAGAAGUGAUAGCCACAGUAUGACUCUGAGAGAGAACUUCAUCACAGAGUAGCUAUCAUGGUUGGUUUUUGACAAAGUCUAGCUUUAACAUAAAAUUUCCUUGGGUGAGCCUCUUCUCCAGUUAACAAUUUGGAGAAACUAGACAAAGUAAGCAGUUAAAAAGUCAGGUGGUACAAACUUGAUGUGAUGGAAUGUCAUUUAGUAUUCUAACCAAAUCAACUUGUCUUUCAAACAGUUGCUAGGAUUCUUAUAGCAAUGAACAUUUAAUGAAAGCCCAGUACAGGUAAGGCCCACCUGUGUGCCAAGGACAUUAAAGUAGGUGGCAAUUAAAUAAAGAUAAAUUAUUUGAAUAAUUCAACAACAAAAUCAAUGUCACAAUGUUUGGUAGUCAUUGCGUUGCCCAAGCAAUAAUUUAGGACAAAGCUCAAAUGUGUAAUGACUCCAACUUCAACAGAAAUCGUCUGGGAGAUGUUUAUAGGGACAGGGUAAAGGUGGGCUUAGUGCAGGUGGGGGAGACAGUGAGGACCCUUGCUAAUGAGGGCGCCAUUGUUAAUAAAAGUGGAGAGGAAGGAUGGCUUGAGGGACACAUGACUUUAAAGGCCACUGAACGCAGAAACAGAAAGAAAGCUUGUAGCUGAGGAGUUGAGGACCCCUCAGCAUCAAGUUGAGGAACAUGAACAAGGAGACAUCUCAUUUAGUGUGGGGACAGAGGAGAAGCUAUGAGGAACCAAGUUAGUAACUAUAUCUCGUCAUACAGACAACAACGAUGCCCAGUGUAGUAAAGUCCAACACUGUUGGAAUGCAUCCUCAAGUGUGCCUGUCUAUGGGGCUAGGGGUGGUUCUGUAUUCUCUGUACAAAUUUACUCAGUUUCCUAAAUCAUAGGCUUUGAGGAGCUGGGAGAGAGAGUCACUCGGCUCAUAAAAAGCUACAUCCACAAUAGAAUUUUAAGUCGUGGAUGUUCACCUUUUCUGAAUCACUCUGGAAAUCACUGCUCAGAUCUGAAACUGCAUGUAGUCAAGCCACUGGAGGAAUAGAUGUCUAUGUUGUGUCCAUGAGCUUGAAGUCCUGGGUUGAGAAAUAAAGCAGAGAAGAGUGUUAGAGGGAAGCCGUCACUACCAGGUGGCACCUGAGGAAAGACAAGGAGUGAGGAACAGCUAGAGGACACGAGAGCAAGGGGGAACAGCAAGGGCCAAGACCUGGAAACAGGAGCAAAAGUGUCUUGUUUGAGGACCAGAGAGACCAUGUGGAUGGAGUCCAGUGGGCAGGAGGGAGUUAGCAGGUCAGUUAGCAGGUCAGCUUGGAGAAGCAGGGGCGGGGCGUCAGGCAGGACGUGGAGGCCUCAGCCAUACGCUGAUCAAGGGUGCAGCUACUGGGGCUUUUGAGUAGAGAAAUUGCAACAUUCAUCCUACUGUCUUUUCUUGGGUCUAAGAUGCCUUGGAUUUUAAGACCUGUUAUGCAAAAGUUACCAUUUCAUGUCUGACACUGGGGCUUCCUUUUUGUUGAUGAUUCUUACCUUGAUUUAAGAAAUGUUAAAACGUAAAAACAAACAAAAAAGUGCUUUGGAAACCUAAAAUGUAAUAUGUUCCCUAAAAAGCAUUCUGUCUGCUUCAUCGGGCGUAGGCUACAAGGGAGGCCUUUGCAAUUCAGCCGUCCAGGGUGUGUGAAAAAUGACCCAGAUGUGGAGAUGUUUGAGGUGAGAGGAAAAGAAACUCGAAGGUUUUUGGUUUCUGCAACAGUAAGUCGUCAUUUACUGAGAUGGAGAAAACUAUGAGAGGAACAGAUUUUGUGGGGGACAGUUAGAACUUUGUUUUGGACAUGGUUGAGAGUCUCAGACUUCCAAGGGGAGAUAUCGAGUAGCACACAUGCAUGCACACCACACACACACUCACACACACACACACACACACUCUCUCUCUAUCUCUCUCUCUCUCUCUCACACACACAUACACACACACACACACGUCAGUUCUCAUUCCUGGUGGAGUCCACAUUUGUGAAUUUUCUUUUUCACUGAUAUUUAUUGAUCCUCAGAUGAACGCAGAGUCUCACAGUCGUUCAUGGCCACGUGUGGACAGGUGGAAGCUUUGGGCUGCCCAGCGCCCGUGCUCUCAGCUGAGAUCAGAGGCACUGGCCUUGGCCUCCGGCUCUCCUGCUGAAGCCCUUCUCUUCCUCCAGCCCUAACCGGUGCUUCGUUUUUUGCUUGCUCGUGCUUUUUCUUGGUGAUGCCUUUGUUUAAAAUGGUCCCCAGCUGCAGUGCUGAAGUGCUGUUCUGCGUUCCUCGUGUGCUAAUGCCGGGACGUGCCUUCUGGGGAGCAGACACCUGUCGGGUUUUCAUUCAGGCAUGAAAUACAGUGCUAUCGGCCAUGGACGCAAUAUUAGCGAGUCAACAACAUAUGUUAAAUAGACGUCUUUUAAAAUAAACACAUAAAGCAAGGUUGUUUAUCAGUAAAUUCAAAUGUUAUUACCAGAGGUGCACUAAAUAAAUAAAUAGAUAGAUAAAUAGAUAAAUAAAUAGAAGAACUCUAUUUCCCCUAAAAGCAAUAAUUGAGUGUUUGCUAAUUCUGUAUUGGUGACAACUUUAUAGACCAUCAUUUCAACAAAUAGUGAGAAUCAGCUAUAUAUAUUCUGGAGUUCUUUUUUAAAAAAAAUAUUUUUAGUUAUAAAUGGGUGCAAUACUUUUAUUUAUUAUUUUUUUAUUCUUUGUCUUAUUUCUUUUUUUAUUUGUUUUAAUUAGUUACUCAUGACAGUACAAUGAUCUUGACAUAUCAUAUUUGAAUCAGAUGGGAUAUAAUUUCUCAUUUUUCUGAGUGUACAGAUUGCAGAAUUAUAUUGGUUACGAAGUCAUGUAUACACCCACAGCAAUAAUAAUGUCUAUUUUAUUCUGCUGUAAUUUAUUUAUUUUUAUGUGAUGCUGAGAAUCGAACCCAGUGCCUCACACAUGCUAGGCAAGUGCUCUUCCACUGAGCCACAACCCCAGCCCCCUAUAUUUUGGAAUUUUUGAGCUCAGGAAGGCAUAAGUACUAGAUGAGAGGUCAUCUGUAUCUACUCACAUUUAAAAAUCUUAUUAUCCCACAAUUGACACAGAUUUGAAAAAAGCAAGGAGAUGAUUACAGAAAUUGAAAAUAAGCUUUUAGAAACUUUUAGAUAUUAUAGGGUAGAUAUUACAUCUAUUGAAUGUAGUACUAAUAAAGAAUGAGGUUGCAUUUUACAGAUCUGUUCCUAAAUUUUUCUGAUCCUUCAUGUUAUUGUGUUUUGCAGAAUUCUCCCCCUGUGGUGGACUCGGGGGACAGUCCCGCAGCACCCACAGCUUGAGAAGCGCUGGUCUGGGAGGUGGUUCCAUUCUACCCUGCCCCCACUUUCCACAUGUCAGGUAGCUCUGAGGCAGAUAUUAGCACAAGGUGAGUUUACAUUUCUAGUUUCUGGUUUGGCACAUGAAGAGCUCAGAAGUUGUGAUCAUCCUAAUAAGUGAAAAACAGAAGAAACUAUAAAAUAAACAGCUCUUAGAAAAAGGAAGCCUCAGAAGAGACUGACAGAUGUCCACUUCCAGGGAAGCAGAAAAGAGUUUCCAGAGAAAAAUCUAUGUUCUGUUCUAAUCAAAUUUCCGACAUCUUUUGAUAAAUGUUCCGUCUCAGGGGCCUCUGAUCCCUGCCUCUCUGAGGGGGUGAUGCUGCGGGCAAUUAAAUCAAGUUCAAAAAUACUUAUUAAAUAAAAAUACAUGUCAGCAGCCCUGUCUUUCAGCAUAACACCCUCCUCACAAUGGCCAGGAAGACCAGCGUCUCCCUCAGCAGAAUGGUCAGCUCAGAUUUACUCAAUAUGGCAUUGGCUCUCUAAGUCAAAGGGACAUGCUGGCAGGUUCCAGAAAGGCUGGCCGUGGGAGCACAAGACUCAGCACCCUCUCCCCCUCCUCCUGCCAGAAUUGUCUGAAAUGAGGAAAGAAAUGUAAAAAUGCAAGACAACCAGAACCUGGGAUGCAGUAAGAAGGGGUGCAGUUCAUUGCCUCAAGGUGCAAAAGAGACUGCAGGUUCUCAGCCAGUGGGACCCCGGUGAAGGCAGCCGGAGGUCAAACUCACACUCCCUUCCAUGGGAAGCCCUGGAAAGUCGCCUGGAGUCAAAACAGACUCCAAAUGAGGAGUUGUGGGUAGAGCGUGGGAGAAAGAGAAAAGGCUGGGGGCGAUGGGUGGGGAGAGAGGAGAAGAGCUGAUCCGGGUGCAGCAGCUUUCCUACCCAGCGGGGCUGCACUUCCAGGUUCUAGGCGAGGCUGCCAAACUACACAGGACUUCUGGGAUUUCUUCUGACUCAGCUCCUUCCAGAAUAUUCCAGAGCUCAGGCUCUAGCUGGAGGGACCCUUUUCGGGCACUGCAGUGCUCCCUGCUGAUGGG
rnacentral:lncRNA from 1 species